GAUUAAUACCCCAUAAAGAUAUCGAGAGGCAUCUUUUGAUAUUUAAAGUUUCGGCGGUACGGGAUGGGCAUGCGUAACAUUAGCUAGUUGGUAGGGUAACGGCCUACCAAGGCGACGAUGUUUAGGGGUCCUGAGAGGGUGAUCCCCCACACUGGUACUGAGACACGGACCAGACUCCUACGGGAGGCAGCAGUGAGGAAUAUUGGUCAAUGGGCGCAAGCCUGAACCAGCCAUCCCGCGUGCAGGAAGACGGCGCUAUGCGUUGUAAACUGCUUUUCCAGAGGAAGAAAACCCUCGACGAGUCGGGGCUUGCCGGUACUCUGGGAAUAAGCAUCGGCUAACUCCGUGCCAGCAGCCGCGGUAAUACGGAGGAUGCGAGCGUUAUCCGGAUUUAUUGGGUUUAAAGGGUGCGUAGGCGGAUUACUAAGUCAGUGGUGAAAACCUUCAACUUAACUGGAGACUUGCCAUUGAUACUGGUAG
rnacentral:rRNA from 1 species